rnacentral:tRNA from 1 species
GUUAAUGUAGCUUAAUUUCAAAGCAAGGCACUGAAAAUGCCUAGAUGGACCUCAGGGCCCCAUAAACA